rnacentral:sRNA from 1 species
ACGUCAAAUAAUGAGGCGUUCAUCCUGACCGAAAUCAGGCACUGAACGGGGAGUACUCCAUCGCCGUACUGAGUACAUCGCGAACUCCUGCAAAAACUCAACAUAAACCUCGCCUUGCUACACAUUAUCUGACG